AGUGGACGCUGGCGGCAGGCCUAACACAUGCAAGUCGAGCGGCAGCGCGGGGGCAACCCUGGCGGCGAGCGGCGGACGGGUGAGGAAUUCGUCGGAAUCUGCCUUUUUGUGGGGGAUAACGUAGGGAAACUUACGCUAAUACCGCAUACGUCCUACGGGAGAAAGUGGGGGACCGCAAGGCCUCACGCAGAAAGAUGAGCCGACGACCGAUUAGCUAGUUGGUGGGGUAAAGGCCCACCAAGGCGACGAUCGGUAGCUGGUCUGAGAGGAUGAUCAGCCACACUGGGACUGAGACACGGCCCAGACUCCUACGGGAGGCAGCAGUGGGGAAUAUUGGACAAUGGGCGCAAGCCUGAUCCAGCCAUGCCGCGUGUGUGAAGAAGGCCUUCGGGUUGUAAAGCACUUUUGUCCGGAAAGAAAUCCCUGGAGCUAAUACCUUCGGGGGAUGACGGUACCGGAAGAAUAAGCACCGGCUAACUUCGUG
rnacentral:rRNA from 1 species